CCUACGGGUGGCAGCAGUGGGGAAUAUUGCACAAUGGGGGAAACCCUGAUGCAGCGACGCCGCGUGAGUGAAGAAGUACUUCGGUAUGUAAAGCUCUAUCAGCAGGGAAGAAAAUGACGGUACCUGACUAAGAAGCCCCGGCUAACUACGUGCCAGCAGCCGCGGUAAUACGUAGGGGGCAAGCGUUAUCCGGAUUUACUGGGUGUAAAGGGAGCGUAGACGGCAGGGUAAGUCUGAAGUGAAAGGCGGGGGCUCAACCCCGGGACUGCAUUGGAAACUGUACGGCUGGAGUGCAGGAGGGGUAAGUGGAAUUCCUAGUGUAGCGGUGAAAUGCGUAGAUAUUAGGAGGAACACCGGUGGCGAAGGCGGCUUACUGGACGAUAACUGACGUUGAGGCUCGAAAGCGUGGGGAGCGAACAGGAUUAGAUACCCUAGUAGUC
rnacentral:rRNA from 1 species